CUUGCUCUUUUGGAUUGAGUUCCACUUGUUUUCUUACUGCCUGCUCCAAUUACACUUCUCUUAACUCCAGCAAUAAAACACAGUGAACUGCUGUUCUUGUUAGCCUGCACCAUCUUCUUUCUUCUCCUUAUAUAAUCUAUCAGUUUUCCUUUGCAUGAAGAUCAACUAGUAUCUAUACUGAACUCUCUCUUUUGCCAUGAUAAUUGUGAUGCAUUCACCUAACAAAUGUACAUGUGCGUCACUGGUCAAGGCUGGAGAACUUUUACCUUCAGUGUUUCUGUGCUCAUCUCUCUCUCUGUCAAACCCAGGGGCAUAUAGGACAGUAUGUUCUGUUUCAGCUUGCUCAAUUGCUUGGUGACACACCGUGCUUUCAAGUCUGACCGUUCAUAAGAGCACAUCUUCUUGCUUUCACUUGUCUUCAGAUGACUGUCAGGCAUACCUCUGCUGCUGUAAUUCAGCUGCAUUUACGGUCAGCUGGAUCUUUGUGGGGUCCCUGGAGAUUACAUUUUGCUCUUGUAUAACACAGAUUAUAUCUGUUGUAUAACAGUGAUUGAAUCUAUUUCACCACUGUGUACACUGAUGUCUAUUAUGUUGGCAAGGCUAUGACAUCUGCCACGGUAUAGUCUGCUGAUUUUAAGCUGCAUAUUCAUACAGAAGAGAAGUCAAAGUGUCUUUCCAAAGUCACUUUCGAAAUAACUAGACUCACUUAUUCCACAGCAUGAUCUUCAGAUGCUGAGAGGCCCUGGACUCAAAGCCGUGGUCUAAUUGCACCACACUCACUCUGCAAUGCAAAGGAUUUGGUGCCAAGUCCAAAUGAGAGAAUUCAGGAGGGGGGUGGGGAGGAGAGAGUUGAUGCAUACAAGAGAAGUUCAGAGAGGAAUCCAUGUCCCAGUCCCUUUUGUAACCAUUAUGCUGUUCCUGCAGAAGGAAAGAAAAAAGGGCUUGAAGCAUGGCACCAAUUAUUUCAAACCUGUUAACAUGCCAGAGCAUUUACCACAGUGUUGUAAUCAAGAGCCAGUAUUAACAUCUACAUCAACAAUUUUUCUUAGCAUCCAAAAUGACAGAGAAAAUAAGGUUUGGUGGCUGGAGACAGUUCCCACUGGAGGCUGGCACAUCAUGCAGUGGAAUGGAGGCAAGGAACCAGCCUUCCCAAGCCACUCAGGGGGAGAUCCCAUUUUCCCAUGCAUUUCACUGGAGGUCGUGCAUUCCUUGCUGAGUCUCAAUUUUUGCCUAUCUGACAGUAUAAUGAAAAGAGAGAAAGGAAGGUCUGCACAGUCAAACAAGCAACUCUGGACUCCUUGGUGUCACGAGCCUUUUUGAUGUCUGACACAUUUUUGUUUUGCAAUAAGAAGUACAAUUAAGCGUUCAGACCUUCUUCCCAACUACACCCAACUUCUGCCCAGUAUUUCUGGGACGUACGGUAACAGAGUUUCAGAAUCCCUCUUGCCAGACGGCAAUGUGUGACUUGGCUUUGAGACCCUUGUUCUGCAGCCAGCUUUCACCUCAGUUUGCAGGUGAGGGUUUCCUGCAUGGACAGUCUGUACAAUGUCCUCGUGCUCUUCCAGUUUUCUGCUCCAUCCAGAUCAAUUGCAACAGCUGCUUCAUUCCUGGAACCUGGGAACUAAUUUGGAUAUUUGACAAGGCCAGGGUCGAUUUAAAGAAAAAAAUCGAUAGCAAUAUCCUAGAUCUCACAUGAGGGCAGAUGGCUUUCUGAGGUGGUGGUUGUUUUUUUCUUAAUCUUCAAGAUUGUAAUAUUCAUAACUGAACAACAAAACAGCCAUAUAUAUAUCCUACAAUAACAAAGAACACCUGUUCCUGUACACAAAGGUAGCAGAUUUGAUAGUCUGAGUGCUAGUUCGUACUCUUCCCGAUGACAGCAAGAAGUAUUGUAGCUCUCCUUGGCCAUGCCUUGUCUUUGGGAAGAGGAGCUUACUGUACUGUACUACUUACUGUAGUAAGAAGAUCACUGUGAGAGGUACUUCCCUGAAUAAGCAGGGAAUGCUUUCAGACAGCUGUUCCUGUUCCCUGUUUUUCUCAGGCCUCUGGUUUCAAGGAAUAAAGCUGUCUUUCAUGCUUCCAUCAUUAGGAGAAGUUUCUACAUUGACAGAACCUGUGUUGGCAGCUCCUCAGCGAGCUGCCAGACCCAAAGAAGCAUGGGCUGUUAAAAUAGUUAGCUAUGAACUGUCAGAACCUGUUACAAGUCUUCCAUCAUCAGAGCUCAAAUCACAGGGUCUUCACAGAAAGCUGUUCUCACUCCUAUUAUCUAAAGGCUGACGGAUGGAAACCUACUCCAUAUCUUUUGGCAGGCUUCCUGUCAGUGGAGAGUCCUGUGACUCUGUGGUGACACUUGGUACAGUGGUACGAAUAAUGCUCAGAGAAAAAUGAUCUCCGAAUGAAAACUAAGUCAGGGUUUUUGUUUAACACCAUCCACCCCCUGCACAUGCAUGUGAGCGCACAGACAGGAAGAGAGAUUGCCUACCAGUGAACAGUGCCCUUCCAGAAACCUCAUGCACUGAAGACCUGUAGGGGAAACUGAAAUACCGCUUGUUGAAUGUGAGGUUAGAACGUGGCCCCCAUAGUGGCUGCUGCUCAGACUUUCUUGGGCAGGCCGUGCAGUAGGAUGCACUUCUGAGUCACUGGGAAGUAGUCUGCACUGGCAUUAAGAUGCUCACCAGUGCUUUCUGAAGGCCCUCCUAGUUCUUGCCCUUUCUCUUAGAAACAAAAAUGAUGGGGAUUUUUGUUUUCAAAAUGUUUAACCGCUUUUAAUGACAGAAAGUCUUCCUGUUGGACAUUUACAAAUCUCAUGUCAGAAAGAGUGAAAUAACUCUUGACCAGUGCCUUCAAGUAGUGUCCUAACACCAACUGUAUCAUUCAAGACCACAUCAGCUCUUCUGAGAAUGCCAAGUGUCCAGUCCAGUCCCUUGCUCCCAAGGGACAUAAACCACAACUGAUGCGUGGGAGGAGAUCUGGGAGUGCUGCCUACUGAAGGCAGGCUCCUCUAAAUUGUAUUCUCCCGAAGAAAGGAAAUCAGAUGUUUCACUGUUCCCACCUUUCUAUAAAGCCAUACUAUCUGGAAUUAUUUUUUGUUGGCGGCUCUUGAAAUACUUGUUCAGUUGUAUCUUAUCUUAGUUUUAAUUCCAUGAUUUUGUCUGGGGCUGAGGUCAGUUACACUGGCUUGUAGUGACCUGGCUUGACCAGUUCACUCACUUUGAGUACUGGGACAUUAGAGCCUUUCCAGUCUCAUAUUUCCCCACUGUUCCAAGGAUGGUUAAAGAUUAACAAGAGACGCCCAGAGUGCUCCUCAGACAGAUUGCAGGUCUCUGGGAUGCAAGUUUUCCCGCUGGUGUGAAAGUUUGGAUAGUUAGCUAAUGACACUGAGCUACUUAAUGGACUGCAAAGGAAGCAUCCUGUUUAGACAGGUGGUCGCAAGGAACCGGGUAGAAGAAAGCAAUUCCAACAGCGAGCAGCCUCACUGCGACAAUCUCAGCAGUCCGUUCUCAGA